GCAAUUCCUCAUCACAUGUUGCUUGGAAUGUGGGACUGGCCUGCCCGGGCAGUAGCCGGCUGCUUACAGUGUAUUCCUUUGAAAGAGAACUGCGUGUCCAGCACAAGGCGAGAGCUCUAUGACCUGGAGAUUGCAGACCGAGUCUAUGAGCACAUGCAGUAAGGCUGCAGACGUCUGGUACUGCAGCCCCGAGCUGAGGGCCUAUUGUGAGGAUCAUGGUCUGCACUGGGGGCAGAGGGGGAUGGGGUGGAGGCCAGACAUGCCAGGUCUUACGAGAUCACCUUUGAUGCUUUGUUCAUCAGGUUACUAAUCCCUUCUGCCACUGAAGAGCUGAGCCCUGCUCCUCCGGUCAGUAACCCCACCCCCAACACAACACAAGCACAGCCAGUCUCCUAAGUGUCUAGAGGGGACUUUUUUCUUUUAUUAACCAGGGGGCUCACAUUUUCAAAGAAAGCAGUAUCUGUUGUCACCCACAUCUGCAAGCAGACAAUGUGACAAAGUAAUUAAAAGGGUCUACAGUGUGUCUGGAAUGAGCAUUUUGUAUCAUGUUUAAUGUAAAAACUAGACAAUCUAGUUUUGAGUGUCACACUUUAAUAAUGAA